UACGUAGGGGGCUAGCGUUGCUCGGAAUUAUUGGGCGUAAAGAGCUCGUAGGCGGUUUGUCGCGUCUGCUGUGAAAAUCCAGGGCUUAACCCUGGACCUGCAGUGGGUACGGGCAGACUAGAGUGCGGUAGGGGAGAUCGGAAUUCCUGGUGUAGCGGUGAAAUGCGCAGAUAUCAGGAGGAACACCGGUGGCGAAGGCGGUGCUCUGGGCCGAAACUGACGCUGAGGAGCGAAAGCGUGGGUAGCAAACAGG
rnacentral:rRNA from 1 species